rnacentral:rRNA from 1 species
UGAUGACGAGACGCUAAGGCGUUGAAGCAGUGUAUGUCAGACUUCCAAGAAAAGCUCGCAAUGUCACAAAUAAGAAAUGCCUGUACCAUAACCGACACAGGUGGGUAGGUAGAGUAUACUAAGGGGCGCGAGAUAACUCUCUCUAAGGAACUCGGCAAUGACUCCGUAACUUCGGGAGAAGGAGUGCCUUAUUUAUAAGGUUGCAAUAACAAGAUCCAAGCAACUGUUUAUCAAAAACACAGGUCUCCGCUAAGUCGUAAGACGAUGUAUGGGGGCUGACGCCUGCCCAGUGCCAGAAGGUUAAAGAAGUUGGUUAGUGUAUGCGAAGCUGAUGACUGAAGCCCUGGUGAACGGCGGCCGUAACAAUAACGGUCCUAAGGCAGCGAAAUUCCUUGUCGGGUAAGUUCCGACCCGCACGAAAGGCGUAAUGAUUUGGAUACUGUCUCGGAGAGAGGCUCGGUGAAAUAGACUUGUCUGUGAAGAUGCGGACUACCUGCACCAGGACAGAAAGACCCUAUGAAGCUUUACUGUAACUUGAAAUUGGAAUUGGACUUUGCUUGCGCAGUAUAGGUGGGAAGCGUUGAAAAUAUUCUUGCGGGAGUAUUGGAGCUAUCAGUGAGAUACCACUCUUGUAAUGUUAGAUUUCUAACUUUGAACCAUAAUCUGGUCAAAGAACAGUUUCAGGUGGGCAGUUUGACUGGGGCGGUCGCCUCCCAAAUGGUAACGGAGGCGUACAAAGGUUUCCUCUGAACGGAUAGAAAUCGUAUCUAGAGUGUAAAGGCAUAAGGAAGCUUGACUGUGAGACCUACAAGUCGAGCAGGGACGAAAGUCGGUCUUAGUGAUCUGACGGUACUGAGUGGAAAGGCCGUCACUCAACGGAUAAAAGUUACUCUAGGAUAACAGGCUGAUCUCCCCCAAGAGUUCACAUCGACGGGGAGGUUUGGCACCUCGAUGUCGGCUCAUCGCAUCCUGGGGCGGUAGUACGUCCCAAGGGUUGGGCUGUUCGCCCAUGAAAGCGGUACGCGAGCUGGGUUCAGAACGUCGUGAGACAGUUCGGUCCAUAUCCGGUGUAGGCGCUAGAAUAUUGAGAGGAGCCUUCUUUAGUACGAGAGGACCGAGAAGGACACACCGCUGGUGUACCAGUUAUCGUGCCAACGGUAAACGCUGGGUAGCUAUGUGUGGAGUGGAUAACCGCUGAAAGCAUCUAAGUGGGAAGCCCACCUCGAGAUGAGUAUUCUCAUC